UGGUUCUGGUUUCUCUUAAGUUGUGCAUAAAUCUUUGGAUUUUUACUGAAGAUUUCCAUGGAGAGGGACAUCAAUAAGUUUGAUGUAUUUUUAUGAGCUUUGCUCUGGUGGAGCU